GUUUCAUAGUUUCUCAUUUUGUCCCCCUGUGAUUUAAAAUGUAUCAAUUUGCCCCCCUGUGGUUUCGUUUUUCUCUUUUUCUUAUCAAUUUCAUUAUUUUUUUUUCUUAAAUCAGUGAUAAAGUUAAAAUUAAAGAGUACUAAAGUGAAUAUAUGAUAAAUCUAGAUGGGUAUCUGAAGUUUUUUGUAUAUAAUUUAAUAAAAUAUUAACAAAAAAGCUAUCCAAAAAAUAAAAACAAAACCACAUGGGGGUAAUUUAAUAUAUUUUAAACCACAGGGGGCAAAGUGAGAAACUACGAAACUACAUGGUGUGUUUUAAAGAUUUUCCUAAAAAGUUUAAAUUUAAAUGGUAUAUUCUUAACUGUGGAAAAGAAAGAAAGAAAGAAAAAAUCAGACUUGCAUUUGAAUAUA
rnacentral:lncRNA from 1 species